AGUGAACGCUGGCGGUAGGCCUAACACAUGCAAGUCGAACGGCAGCACAGUAAGAGCUUGCUCUUACGGGUGGCGAGUGGCGGACGGGUGAGGAAUACAUCGGAAUCUACUUUUUCGUGGGGGAUAACGUAGGGAAACUGACGCUAAUACCGCAUACGACCUACGGGUGAAAGCAGGGGAGCUUCGGACCUUGCGCGAUUGAAUGAGCCGAUGUCGGAUUAGCUAGUUGGCGGGGUAAAGGCCCACCAAGGCGACGAUCCGUAGCUGGUCUGAGAGGAUGAUCAGCCACACUGGAACUGAGACACGGUCCAGACUCCCACGGGAGGCAGCAGUGGGGAAUAUUGGACAAUGGGCGCAAGCCUGAUCCAGCCAUACCGCGUGGGUGAAGAAGGCCUUCGGGUUGUAAAGCCCUUUUGUUGGGAAAGAAAAGCAGCAGGUUAAUACCCCGCUGUUCUGACGGUACCCAAAGAAUAAGCACCGGCUAACUUCGUG
rnacentral:rRNA from 1 species